rnacentral:rRNA from 1 species
ACGAACGCUGGCGGCAGGCUUAACACAUGCGAGUCGAACGAUAUAGUGGCAGACGGGUGAGUAACGCGUGGAAACGUGCCUUUCACUACGGAAUAGCUUUUGGAAACGAAAGGUAAUACCGUAUACGCCCUCCGGGGGAAAGAUUUAUCGGUGAAAGAUCGGUCCGCGUUAGAUUAGCUAGUUGGUGAGGUAACGGCUCACCAAGGCUACGAUCUAUCGCUGGUCUGAGAGGAUGAUCAGCCACACUGGAACUGAGACACGGUCCAGACUCCUACGGGAGGCAGCAGUGGGGAAUAUUGCACAAUGGGCGCAAGCCUGAUGCAGCCAUGCCGCGUGAAUGAUGAAGGCCUUAGGGUUGUAAAAUUCUUUCGCCAGGGAUGAUAAUGACAGUACCUGGUAAAGAAGCCCCGGCUAACUUCGUGCCAGCAGCCGCGGUAAUACGAAGGGGGCUAGCGUUGUUCGGAAUUACUGGGCGUAAAGCGCACGUAGGCGGACUUUUAAGUCAGAUGUGAAAUCCCGAGGCUCAACCUCGGAACUGCAUUUGAAACUGGGAGUCUAGAGAUCAGGAGAGGUUAGCGGAAUACCGAGUGUAGAGGUGAAAUUCGUAGAUAUUCGGUGGAACACCAGUGGCGAAGGCGGCUAACUGGACUGAUACUGACGCUGAGGUGCGAAAGUGUGGGGAGCAAACAGGAUUAGAUACCCUGGUAGUCCACACCGUAAACGAUGAGUGCUAGUUGUCUGCAGGCAUGCCUGUAGGUGACGCAGCUAACGCAUUAAGCACUCCGCCUGGGGAGUACGGCCGCAAGGUUAAAACUCAAAGAAAUUGACGGGGCCCGCACAAGCGGUGGAGCAUGUGGUUUAAUUCGAAGCAACGCGCAGAACCUUACCUACGCUUGACAUGCCCGGACGAUUUCCAGAGAUGGAUCUCUCCCUUCGGGGCCGGUGCACAGGUGCUGCAUGGCUGUCGUCAGCUCGUGUCGUGAGAUGUUGGGUUAAGUCCCGCAACGAGCGCAACCCUCAUCCUUAGUUGCCAUCACGUUUGGGUGGGCACUCUAGGGAAACUGCCGGUGCUAAGCCGGAGGAAGGCGGGGAUGACGUCAAGUCCUCAUGGCCCUUACGCGUAGGGCUACACACGUGCUACAAUGGCAGUGACAAUGGGAUAAUCCCCAAAAGCUGUCUCAGUUCGGAUUGUCGGCUGCAACUCGCCGGCAUGAAGUUGGAAUCGCUAGUAAUCGUGGAUCAGCAUGCCACGGUGAAUACGUUCCCGGGCCUUGUACACACCGCCCGUCACACCAUGGGAGUUGGAUCUACCCGAAGAUUGUGAGCUAACUUCGGAGGCAGCAAGCCACGGUAGGUUCAGCGACUGGGGUGA